rnacentral:rRNA from 1 species
AUCUAAGUACCCCGAGGAAAAGAAAUCAACCGAGAUUCCCCCAGUAGCGGCGAGCGAACGGGGAGGAGCCCAGAGCCUGAAUCAGCAUGUGUGUUAGUGGAAGCGUCUGGAAAGGCGCGCGAUACAGGGUGACAGCCCCGUACACAAAAGCGCAUGUGCUGUGAGCUCGAUGAGUAGGGCGGGACACGUGGUAUCCUGUCUGAAUAUGGGGGGACCAUCCUCCAAGGCUAAAUACUCCUGACUGACCGAUAGUGAACCAGUACCGUGAGGGAAAGGCGAAAAGAACCCCGGCGAGGGGAGUGAAAAAGAACCUGAAACCGUGUACGUACAAGCAGUGGGAGCACCCUUCGGGGUGUGACUGCGUACCUUUUGUAUAAUGGGUCAGCGACUUAUAUUCUGUAGCAAGGUUAACCGUAUAGGGGAGCCGGAGGGAAACCGAGUCUUAAUUGGGCGUUAAGUUGCAGGGUAUAGACCCGAAACCCGGUGAUCUAGCCAUGGGCAGGUUGAAGGUUGGGUAACACUAACUGGAGGACCGAACCGACUAAUGUUGAAAAAUUAGCGGAUGACCUGUGGCUGGGGGUGAAAGGCCAAUCAAACCGGGAGAUAGCUGGUUCUCCCCGAAAGCUAUUUAGGUAGCGCCUCGUGAAUUCAUCUCCGGGGGUAGAGCACUGUUUCGGCUAGGGGGCCAUCCCGGCUUACCAACCCGAUGCAAACUGCGAAUACCGGAGAAUGUUAUCACGGGAGACACACGGCGGGUGCUAACGUCCGUCGUGAAGAGGGAAACAACCCAGACCGCCAGCUAAGGUCCCAAAGUCAUGGUUAAGUGGGAAACGAUGUGGGAAGGCCCAGACAGCCAGGAUGUUGGCUUAGAAGCAGCCAUCAUUUAAAGAAAGCGUAAUAGCUCACUGGUCGAGUCGGCCUGCGCGGAAGAUGUAACGGGGCUAAACCAUGCACCGAAGCUGCGGCAGCGAACGUAUCACCCAAGACAACUUUACGGAGUUGACGAUUGACGGAGCGAAGCGACGUCAAAGCGUUCAUUAAAGUCGAGUUGGCUUAGGGAUACGUUCGUUGGGUAGGGGAGCGUUCUGUAAGCCUGUGAAGGUGUGUCGUGAGGCAUGCUGGAGGUAUCAGAAGUGCGAAUGCUGACAUAAGUAACGAUAAAGCGGGUGAAAAGCCCGCUCGCCGGAAGACCAAGGGUUCCUGUCCAACGUUAAUCGGGGCAGGGUGAGUCGACCCCUAAGGCGAGGCCGAAAGGCGUAGUCGAUGGGAAACGGGUUAAUAUUCCCGUACUUGGUGUUACUGCGAAGGGGGGACGGAGAAGGCUAUGUUGGCCGGGCGACGGUUGUCCCGGUUUAAGCGUGUAGGUGUGUGUUCCAGGUAAAUCCGGUUCACUUUAACACUGAGGCGUGACGACGAGGCACUACGGUGCUGAAGCAACAAAUGCCCUGCUUCCAGGAAAAGCCUCUAAGCAUCAGGUAACAUCAAAUCGUACCCCAAACCGACACAGGUGGUCAGGUAGAGAAUACCAAGGCGCUUGAGAGAACUCGGGUGAAGGAACUAGGCAAAAUGGUGCCGUAACUUCGGGAGAAGGCACGCUGACACGUAGGUGAAGUGAUUUACUCAUGGAGCUGAAGUCAGUCGAAGAUACCAGCUGGCUGCAACUGUUUAUUAAAAACACAGCACUGUGCAAACACGAAAGUGGACGUAUACGGUGUGACGCCUGCCCGGUGCCGGAAGGUUAAUUGAUGGGGUCAGCGCAAGCGAAGCUCCUGAUCGAAGCCCCGGUAAACGGCGGCCGUAACUAUAACGGUCCUAAGGUAGCGAAAUUCCUUGUCGGGUAAGUUCCGACCUGCACGAAUGGCGUAAUGAUGGCCAGGCUGUCUCCACCCGAGACUCAGUGAAAUUGAACUCGCUGUGAAGAUGCAGUGUACCCGCGGCAAGACGGAAAGACCCCGUGAACCUUUACUAUAGCUUGACACUGAACAUUGAGCCUUGAUGUGUAGGAUAGGUGGGAGGCUUUGAAGCGUGGACGCCAGUCUGCGUGGAGCCGACCUUGAAAUACCACCCUUUAAUGUUUGAUGUUCUAACGUGGACCCGUAAUCCGGGUUGCGGACAGUGUCUGGUGGGUAGUUUGACUGGGGCGGUCUCCUCCUAAAGAGUAACGGAGGAGCACGAAGGUUGGCUAAUCCUGGUCGGACAUCAGGAGGUUAGUGCAAUGGCAUAAGCCAGCUUGACUGCGAGCGUGACGGCGCGAGCAGGUGCGAAAGCAGGUCAUAGUGAUCCGGUGGUUCUGAAUGGAAGGGCCAUCGCUCAACGGAUAAAAGGUACUCCGGGGAUAACAGGCUGAUACCGCCCAAGAGUUCAUAUCGACGGCGGUGUUUGGCACCUCGAUGUCGGCUCAUCACAUCCUGGGGCUGAAGUAGGUCCCAAGGGUAUGGCUGUUCGCCAUUUAAAGUGGUACGCGAGCUGGGUUUAGAACGUCGUGAGACAGUUCGGUCCCUAUCUGCCGUGGGCGCUGGAGAACUGAGGGGGGCUGCUCCUAGUACGAGAGGACCGGAGUGGACGCAUCACUGGUGUUCGGGUUGUCAUGCCAAUGGCACUGCCCGGUAGCUAAAUGCGGAAGAGAUAAGUGCUGAAAGCAUCUAAGCACGAAACUUGCCCCGA